AGCUACAAUAAUCAUUUACAACAUUAACAAUGUCUACACUGUAUUUCUGAUCAAUCUGAUGUUAUUUUAAAUGGACAAAAAAAAAGGAUUUUCUUAUAAAACAAUUACUUUUCUAAGUGGCCUCAAACUUUUGAACGGUAGUGUAUAUAGCACAUUUCUUACAGCAUAAACAUUUCAAGGUGUUCAAAGUCAUGCAUUGAAAGGAAUGUGGCACUUAACAUCCUUCCUCUUUGCAGGUCUCUAUAGGUGACCAGGGGAUUCUCUAUACCAUAUGCAAAUGCCUCCGUGGAGCUCAUAAGUGUAGCCAUACAGCCUAUUUUGGCGGUACACAAUACAAUCUGUCCUGAAAGCAACUGAAGAGGAUCUUCAGUCACUAAGGAACCAUUUCCGGGACAGGUUAAGUGGAAUGGCCUGUCUCCUUGAACCUGAGCCAGAACAACCGCCACCCUCCCUGUCAUCCCUGUCUGUACCAGACAUUGUUAAAGUACAAGGGCACCCGGGGAAUGCAGGCAUCCUGGCUGGCAUGGCGCUGUUGGUGGAGCAGCAACAGGCAGCAGGGAUUAAACGUGUUCCAAGCAUUUCAUGGAUGUAGCAAAGCAGUGGAACAUUGAAAACACUUUACACAGAACCAGAUUGUAGCUGCGAGAUAUUUGCCUUUUGAACACCCUGCACCGCUCACCGUCUCCAAAGGUCCAUCACAGUGUCCCUACAGAACAGCAGGUUUGAAAAUGCCCUAGCCAAAUGCUGAAGAAUUGUUGGGCAUUUCAAACACAGCACACCUGACACUGCAGAGCUAGGACAACAGCAAGUUGCAAAUAGGCAAAAGAAUGAGUAACUCGUUCAAGAUGUCACAAAAAGAUGGAAUUCCACACAGGAAUUGGUCAAGUGUGUCCACAGAAACCAACAACCACAGAGAUGCUCUGGCCCAACAAAAAACAAACUUCACCAUGCAAACCACAGCUGAAUUGGAGAAACUGCAGAAGUUGUAGGCGCUGCUGGAGCCCUGAAGGCUUGAUCUGCUGUAGUCUCGGACCACACUGGCACAGGAUGUCCAUGCACCGGAUUGUCUGAGGGAUGCACUCCUAUUGGACUGGUAAUCAAUGAGACAUUUGUCAACAGUCUGGAUCUUCCUCUUACCUUUUCUUGGAAAUACAGGGCCAUUUCUCUUUCCACCGGAAAACGGAAGCUGCAGACCAAAGUGUUGUCACUGUGUUUUUCGUCCGUCCAUCUGAAAGAC